rnacentral:rRNA from 1 species
UACGGAGGGGGCUAGCGUUGUUCGGAAUUACUGGGCGUACAGCGCACGUAGGCGGCUUUGUAAGUUAGAGGUGAAAGCCCGGAGCUCAACUCCGGAACUGCCUUUAAGACUGCAUCGCUAGAAUUGUGGAGAGGUGAGUGGAAUUCCGAGUGUAGAGGUGAAAUUCGUAGAUAUUCGGAAGAACACCAGUGGCGAAGGCGACUCACUGGACACAUAUUGACGCUGAGGUGCGAAAGCGUGGGGAGCAAACAGG